rnacentral:rRNA from 1 species
AUUCUGGUUGAUCCUGCCAGAGGCUACUGCUAUCGGGGUUCGAUUAAGCCAUGCGAGUUAAAUGUUCUUCGUGAACAUAGCGAACUGCUCAGUAACACGUGGAUAACCUACCCUUAGGACCGGAAUAACCCCGGGAAACUGGGGAUAAUACCG